CGUUGUCCGGAAUUACUGGGUGUAAAGGGAGCGCAGGCGGGUGAUCAAGUCAGCUGUGAAAACUACGGGCUUAACCCGUAGACUGCAUUUGAAACUGUUCAUCUUGAGUGAAGUGCAGAGGUAGGCGGAAUUCCGAGUGUAGCGGUGAAAUGCGUAGAUAUUCGGAGGAACACCGGUGGCGAAGGCGGCCAACUGGGCUUUAACUGACGCUGAGGCUCGAAAGUGUGGGGAGCAAACAGGAUUAGAUACCCUGGUAGUCCACACUGUAAACGAUGAUUGCUAGGUGUGGGGGGUCUGACCCCUUCCGUGCCGGAGCUAACGCAAUAAGCAAUCCACCUGGGGAGUACGACCGCAAGGUUGAAACUCAAAGGAAUUGACGGGGACCCGCACAAGCAGUGGAUUAUGUGGUUUAAUUCGAAGCAACGCGAAGAACCUUACCAGCACUUGACAUCCAACUAACGAAAUAGAGAUAUAUUAGGUGCCCUUCGGGGAAAGUUGAGACAGGUGGUGCAUGGUUGUCGUCAGCUCGUGUCGUGAGAUGUUGGGUUAAGUCCCGCAACGAGCGCAACCCUCGCCAUUAGUUGCUACGCAAGAGCACUCUAAUGGGACCGCUACCGACAAGGUGGAGGAAGGUGGGGACGACGUCAAAUCAUCAUGCCCCUU
rnacentral:rRNA from 1 species